rnacentral:rRNA from 1 species
AUUGAACGCUGGCGGCAGGCCUAACACAUGCAAGUCGAGCGGAGCGGCGGACGGGUGCGUAUUGCCUAGGAAUCUGCCUGGUAGUGGGGGAUAACGUCCGGAAACGGGCGCUAAUACCGCAUACUAUCAGAUGAGCCUCGGUGGGAUUAUCUAGUUGGUGGGGUAAAGGCCUACCAAGGCGACGAUCCGUAACUGGUCUGAGAGGAUGAUCAGUCACACUGAAACUGAGACACGGUCCAGACUCCUACGGGAGGCAGGAGUGGGGAAUAUUGGGCAAUGGGCGAGAGCCUGAUCCAGCACUGUCGCGUGUGUGAAGAAGGGUUUCGGAUCGUAUAGCACUUUAAGUUGGGAGGCGGUACUAUCAGAAUAAGCAACGGCUAACUUCGUGCCAGCAGCCGCGGUAAUUC